UUUGCCAUUUACUGUUGUCUUCUUUGGGUCUGUUUUUAUAUAUAUAUAUAUAUAUAUAUAUAUUGUGUUAAUAUUGUACAAGAUGAAUUUUAUAGAUACUCAACUAUGCACUCUGUGCCUUGUUAUAAGAAAUGAGUAACAUUUCUUAUAGUCUGGAUUACGGUUCAAAUAACAUUAAUUUUACAGUAUCACUUAUUGUUAUAUGCAUCAUUGAUCAAGUAAAUGAGAUUAUAACUUUGUUUCAUUAUAUAUACUGUAGCAUUUAUCAGCUCUUUAUACCUGUCCACAGGUUCGGCCCUGUAACUGUCACUUGAUUUAUGAUGAUGACCAGGAAAACAUUGGCCUUUAAUGUUUGACUCAGAAAAGUCCUGGCCUGAGUUCUGUAAGGAGGCAAUACUUAAACUGAAUUGUUUGUUUAAGGAAGAUUGAUGCAUUCCAAGAAACUUCUGAUUUUGGAAUAAAUGAUUCUGUUUCUCAAAGUGUGCCUCUUAUUUACUCAAACGCUCCAGGGUUCUGCAAAAUUGUUAUAAUGCAAAAGAAAAUGUAAAUUUUAGAGAUUGAAUGUAUUUGGUGAAAUGACCUCUGAGCCUGUUUCUUUCAGAAUGCGUGGCCCGGUGGAACAGUGAGGCUUCAUCAGACUCUGGUCCCAGGAGAAGGUCAAGCUGUUGAUGUUGAGGACACAGUGGAGGUGGCCAAUUCUGGAUGACUUUUACAGAAACUCUCUCUGGGACAGCCAUAUUUCUUCAGACAACACAUCUGGACUCAUCAAUCUCCCCAUCCCAGCAAAUUCCAUAACAAAGAAAGUAUGAGUCUGAAAAAGGUAGAGGAACAGAACCGCAAAAGAGGUGUGCCCUACCCUUUUCUUCACACUCCAAUUUCCUGCUCUCCAGUCAGAUUAAAGGCCCUAAAAAAGCCCUUUAAAAACACGUAAACAUAUACAUUGACACACAACUAAUUGGUUAACUGGGGCAUUGGGCUCCUCCACUACUC